rnacentral:SRP_RNA from 1 species
GCCGGGCACGGUGCCUCAUGCCUGUAAUCCCAGCACUUUGGGAGGCUGAGGCGGGUAGAUCGCUUGAGCCCAGGAGUUCAAGACCAGCCUGGGCAACAUAGUGAGAUCCUGUCUCUU